GACGAACGCUGGCGGCGUGCUUAACACAUGCAAGUCGAACGGAAAGGCCCUGCUUUUGUGGGGUGCUCGAGUGGCGAACGGGUGAGUAACACGUGAGUAACCUGCCCUUGACUUUGGGAUAACUUCAGGAAACUGGGGCUAAUACCGGAUAGGAGCUCCUGCUGCAUGGUGGGGGUUGGAAAGUUUCGGCGGUUGGGGAUGGACUCGCGGCUUAUCAGCUUGUUGGUGGGGUAGUGGCUUACCAAGGCUUUGACGGGUAGCCGGCCUGAGAGGGUGACCGGCGUCAUUGGGACGGAGAUACGCCCCGGCCCCGUGGGGGAGGAAGCGGGGGGAAAUGUUGCCAAAGGGGCGGAAGCCUGAGGCGGCACCGCGGGGGGGGGGAGGACGGCCUGCGGGUUGAAACCCGUUUUCGCCGGGGACGAAGGGUGAGUAAGGGUAAUGGGUAAAGAAGCCCCGGCUAACUACGGG
rnacentral:rRNA from 1 species